rnacentral:rRNA from 1 species
UUUUAAGCAUGCAAGUCGAACGGUAGCCACGGCUUCGGUUGUGGUGAGAGUGGCGAACGGGUGAGUAACACGUAGGUGAUCUACCUUCGGAUGCAGGAUAGCCCAUGGAAACAUGGAGUAAUACUGCAUGAUGCCUAUGUCGUAGAAGGCGUAGGUUAAAGGCGCAUUUUGUGCUGUCUGGGGAUGAGCCUGCGGUCCAUUAGCUUGUUGGUGGGGUAAUAGCCUACCAAGGCGAUGAUGGAUAACCGGCCUGAGAGGGUGCACGGUCACACUGGGACUGAGACACGGCCCAGACUCCUACGGGAGGCAGCAGCUAAGAAUCUUCCGCAAUGGGCGAAAGCCUGACGGAGCGACGCCGCGUGGACGAUGAAGGCCGGAAGGUUGUAAAGUCCUUUUCUAGGCGAAGAAUAAGAGGGGGAGUGGAAAGCCCCCUUGAUGACGUUAACCUGUGAAUAAGCCCCGGCCAAUUACGUG